rnacentral:misc_RNA from 1 species
UAUGAAAGCAGUAUCAAACUCAAAAUUCCUUAUUUUUUACUUGAAAAUCCAUUUGAAUAAAUGUUAUGAAUAAAUUGUGAUUAUUUUAGCUUUGAGAAUUUUAAUUGAAAAAUAGUGUGUUGCCCACUUUGUAAAUGAGAAUUUUGAAAUGAAUUAUAAUUUAUGAUUGAUAUGAAAUAUUUGAAUUAUGUGAUUUGGAAAUCAUACUUGGCGUGACAGUUCCAUUGUGUUCUUUCUCCAUUUAUG